rnacentral:rRNA from 1 species
CGUAAAACUCUGUUGUUAGGGAAGAACAAGUAUCGUUCGAAUAGGGCGGUACCUUGACGGUACCUAACCAGAAAGCCACGGCUAACUACGUGCCAGCAGCCGCGGUAAUACGUAGGUGGCAAGCGUUGUCCGGAAUUAUUGGGCGUAAAGCGCGCGCAGGCGGUUUCUUAAGUCUGAUGUGAAAGCCCACGGCUCAACCGUGGAGGGUCAUUGGAAACUGGGAGACUUGAGUGCAGAAGAGAAGAGCGGAAUUCCACGUGUAGCGGUGAAAUGCGUAGAGAUGUGGAGGAACACCAGUGGCGAAGGCGGCUCUUUGGUCUGUAACUGACGCUGAGGCGCGAAAGCGUGGGGAGCGAACAGGAUUAGAUACCCUGGUAGUCCACGCCGUAAACGAUGAGUGCUAAGUGUUAGAGGGUUUCCGCCCUUUAGUGCUGCAGCUAACGCAUUAAGCACUCCGCCUGGGGAGUACGGCCGCAAGGCUGAAACUCAAAGGAAUUGACGGGGGCCCGCACAAGCGGUGGAGCAUGUGGUUUAAUUCGAAGCAACGCGAAGAACCUUACCAGGUCUUGACUCCUCUUGCUCCCUAGAGAUAGGGAUUUCCCUUCGGGGACAAGAGUGACAGGUGGUGCAUGGUUGUCGUCAGCUCGUGUCGUGAGAUGUUGGGUUAAGUCCCGC